UAUUGUCAAACAAAACGGAGGCUAGCUAGACCCUCCCUCCUCCGCAUCUCGUCUCCUCCCCCUCCCUUCCGUGUUUCCUGAAACAGUUGUGAACUCAUAGUUCUAGCUAAUUAUAUCCUUGUGUGGGUUUGGCGAACAUAAGC